rnacentral:rRNA from 1 species
UACGUAGGGUGCAAGCGUUGUCCGGAAUUAUUGGGCGUAAAGAGCUCGUAGGCGGUCUGUCGCGUCGGCUGUGAAAACCCGGGGCUCAACCCCGGGCCUGCAGUCGAUACGGGCAGACUAGAGUGUGGUAGGGGAGACUGGAAUUCCUGGUGUAGCGGUGAAAUGCGCAGAUAUCAGGAGGAACACCGGUGGCGAAGGCGGGUCUCUGGGCCAUAACUGACGCUGAGGAGCGAAAGCGUGGGGGAGCGAACAGG